UCAAAAAAAUUUAAUGCUUUAGGUGAAUACCUAAGGACUCAAAGAUGAUGAAGGGCGUGUAAACCUGCGAAAAUUUUUAGGAAGUUGGAAAAAAACAUUCUACCUAAAAGUUCCCGAAUAGAGCAAUCUUUUAAACUGCUGAAAUAAUUCAUAAAUCAGUAAGAAACAACUUAGUGAACUGAAACAUCUUAGUAGCUAAAGGAAAAAAAAGCAAACGCGAUUUCCUUAGUAGCGGCGAGCGAAAUGGAAUUAGUCUAAACUGAAAUCUUUUUCAGGGUUGGGGGGUUCAUACAAAAUAAGAAAAAGUUUAAGCAGCUGAAACCUGCACCAUAGAUGGUAAAAGUCCAGUAUUCUUUUUUGUGCAAAUAAGCAAAUCAAUGAAAACCCGAGUAGCUUGGGACACGAGAAAUCCCUAGUGAAUCUACGAGGACCACCUCGUAAGACUUAAAUACUUUUGAGUCACUGAUAGUGAAGAGUACCGUGAGGGAAAGGUGAAAAAGAACCCCUAAAGGGGAGUGAAAGAGAUUAUGAAAUCUAAAGCAAACAAUCUGUGGGAGGUGAAAAGUAUCUAAUUUAUUUAGAUUUACAACUGACCGCAUGCCUGUUGAAGAAUGAGCCGGCGACUUAUAAUUUUUGGCUGGGUUAAAGAAAAAUUUCUGAAGCCACAGUGAAAACAAGUCUGAAAUGGGCGUAUCUAAUUUUUUCGUCAUAAAUUAUAGACCCGAACCCGAGUGAUCUAACCAUGACCAGGAAGAAGCUAAGGUAAAACUCAGUGGAUGUCCGAACCGACCGAUGUUGCAAAAUCGACGGAUGAGUUGUGGUUAGGGGUGAAAUGCUAAUCGAACUCGGAGCUAGCUGGUUCUCCCCGAAAUGCGUUGUGGCGCAGCAUUUGUCGAAGUUCUAUUAAGUGGUAGAGCACUGUUUCGAUACGGGCUAGUCAAAUGGUACCAAAUUGUCGCAAACUCCGAAUACUUAAUAUGAAAUCUACAGAACCCGACAAAAAGUGAGACUGUGGGGGAUAAGCUCCAUAGUCAAAAGGGAAACAGCCCAGACCAUCAGUUAAGGCCCCUAAAUAAUGGUUAAGUGUUAAAGGAAGUCUCAACGCAGAAACAGCCAGAAGGUUCGCUUAGAAGCAGCUAUCCUUGAAAGAAUGCGUAAUAGCUCACUGGUUAAUUUAAGCGUCGAUGCACCGAAAAUGUCCGGGACUAAAUCAUUUGCCGAAACUAUGGGAGAUUCUGUAAUUCAAAUCAGAAAAUAGAUCUCGGUAGGGGAGCGUUCUGUUUUAUAAGGUGAAGGCUCUUUGAAAAAGAGGUUGGAUUAAACAGAAGUGAGAAUGUUGGCUUGAGUAACGUAAACAUUGGUGAGAAUCCAAUGCCCCGUAAACCUAAGGUUUCCUCCACAAGGCUCGUCCCUGGAGGGUUAGUCAGGACCUAAAACAAGGCUGAAAAGCAUAGUUGAUGGAAAACCGGUGAAUAUUCCUGUACUUACUUAAAUUGAGUGACAAAUGACGAAGAAGGCCUGAUUGAAUUUAUUGUCAUUGGGUGCAAUGGAAGUGUUCGAUAUACGGUUAAAGAAAAAAAACUUUAAUUCAAUAUUCUAUAAGAAUAUAAGUAUAAAGACAUAAUCCGAUAGUUUUCUUUCUUUUUUGAGAGGAAACUAUUUAAACUAAUUAGGUCAAACUUCCAAGAAAAGUUUGAAACACUAUUGAAUUUAAGUAACCUGUACCGUAAACCAACACUGGUAGGUGGGUUGAAUAUACUCAGGGGCGCGAGAUAACUCUCUCUAAGGAACUCGGCAAAAUAGCCCCGUAACUUCGGGAGAAGGGGUACCACUGCAAAACAGUGGUCGCAGUGAAAUGAUUCUUUGAACUGUUUAACAAAAACAUAGGUUUCCGCAAAGUCGUAAGACGACGUAUGGGAGCUGACGCCUGCCCAGUGCCGGAAGGUUAAAGAAAUUGGUUAUACGCUGAUGACUGAAGCCCAAUUAAAGAUCACUGUUAGUUUUACAAAACAUUAACAAGCGAAAUUCCUUGUCACGUAAGUUGUGACCCGCACGAAAGGCGUAAUCAAAAGAAUACUGUCUCAGAGAGAGACUCGGUGAAAUAGACAUAUCCGUGAAGAUGCGGAUUUCUAAUUCUUGGACAAAAAGACCCCGUGAAGCUUGACUGUAACUUGAUAUUGAUUUCCAGUUGUUUUUGCGCAGUCUAGGUGGGAGGUUAUGAAAUUGAGUUUGUGGAUUCAAUGGAGCCGUUAUUGAGAGACCACUCUGAAAUAACUAGAAUUCUAAAAGUGAUUCCUUGAAGCAGGACACUUAACAGUGUUAGGUGGGCAGUUUUUUUGGGGCGAAAUUCUCCUAAAAAGUAACGGAGAUUUGCAAAGGUUUCCUCAAACUGGACGGAAAUCAGUUGUUGAGUAUAAAGGCAUAAGGAAGCUUGACUGUAAGACUUAUAAGUCGAACAGAGGCGAAAGCCGGCCUUAGUGAUCCGACGGUAAUCCGCGUGGAAGGGCCGUCGCGCAAAAAAUAAAAGUUACUCCGGGGAUAACAGGCUCAUCUUCCCCAAGAGUUCAUAUCGACGGGAAGGUUUGGCACCUCGAUGUCGUCUUUUCGCAACCUGGGGCGGUAGUACGUCCCAAGGGUUGGGCUGUUCGCCCAUUAAAGCGGAACAUGAGAUGGGUUCAGAACGUAAACUCAUUGCGUUAACAAUUCGUAAGAAUUGUUCAGUAUUGAGAGGAUUUUUCCAUAAUACGAGAGGACUUGGAAGAACAUACCCCUGGUGUACCAGUUCUUAUACCAAUAGGAUACGCUGGGUAGCUAUGUAUGGAGUAGAGUACCGCUGAAAGCAUCUAAGUGGGAAGCUCACCUCAAGAUGAAUAUUCUCUAAUAGACUCCGGUAAGAUAAGCCGGUUGAUAGGUUUUAAGUAUAAGAUUUGUAAAAAUUUAAGCUAAAAAAUACUAAUGAUCGAUUGUUUUUGAU
rnacentral:rRNA from 1 species